AUCUGAAACCCACAGCCAUACACCCACUUCCCUAACUCCUUCUCCCCUCCCUCCUUCCCGGCACCCCCGCCCUCCCGCCGCUUCCCGGGCGAAUUCCGGCCUCUAAUACCCCCUCCAAGGAAGCGCCGCCCCUUCCUACGGCUACGGGAAGGAUCGCCCAGCGGCUGAGGCUGGACAGAGCACAGCCCUCCUUCUGCAGGAAGCCCAUGCCGUGUCCUGAGGACGGGUGAGCAGCCUGGUGGAGAGAUCUAUCCGGUGAGGAACUGAAACUGCCUGCAGUCAUGUGAGGGAGCCACCUUAGAGGCAGACCCUCCAGCCUGAGUCAAGCCUUCAGAUGACUGCAGAUGACAUCUUGACCACAACCUCAGGAUCGAUUCGGAGCCAGAACCACUUAGCUAAGCCACUACCACAUUCCUGACUGUCAGAAACUGAGCAACAUAAUGACUCUGUGGUUUUUAGGCUGCUAUAUCUGGGAGCAAUUUGUUCAACAGGAGUGGUACCUACCUUAAGUAUUAAUAGUUGUUGAGAGUCACCUUUCUCACCCCUUCACUUGAUGGCGCUGUUGUGCAACUGCAAACUCUUGUGGCGACGACUUGUCUCGCUGUACACCAGGUGUGUAACUUCCUACCCAGUGAGUGUUGGGAAUUAGGCCCUUGACCACCGUUUCACAAACCUCUAGCUGCUCUCUGGCUACUUGUGAGUUAAAGUAUUUUUACCCUUUCAAAAACACUUACUAAACAUUUCAUUUUUCACAAAUAGGUAGAAAAAAGAUUUGUCACAAUAUCCCAUCUAUAUCCCAUUGAGCAGACUGAAUAGCCAACAUUGCAUGCAUUUAUUGCUUGAUUCUGAAGACUAAAAAUCCCCGUAAAAUGACACACACUUUAAUAGGGGUAAUUAUAAUCAAAAAUUUCCAAUUUGUAUUAUUUUUAUUAACACCAUAAAAACAUCUCAAAAAAGCUUCUCUUCUUAACUUUUUGUAAAUUGUGAUCAAGAGGAUUAAUAUAAAUUGCAUAAUUUCAACAAAAAUAUCUAGUUCUUACUUGUGAAAAUUAUUGAUCUCUUCAAUUGUAAUGCAAGUUCAAAGGUUAUCCUUAUAAAUGAGCAGUUUAUAGCCUGGUUAGUCAGUGACCAUUUACACAUUUCUGUCUGGAGAAGGCAGAUUUUCAGGAGGAAUAAUGUAGAGUUUGGGUUUUCACAAGAUGAUCUCAUUAAGAAUUUUUAAUUUACAGUUCAAUUAAACAACAUAUCUCAAUUUAAUCUGCUUGUAUUUGAAGAUAAAUAUGCACAUUUCCUUUAUGCUUUAUGAAGGAAACAAUUUUUAAAACUUGAUGGAAUUCUGCUUUGAUAUUUUUAUGAUUACUCAUUCAUUGCUGCCCAUUAUAUUCUUAUACUGUAUUCAGAACAGGUAGUAAAUCCCACUAGUUCUAAAAGGGAAAAUGACAACUUUCUGAUUUAUCCUCCAACAAUGGUUACUUUUUGCCUCAUAAAUUGUUUUCUUUAAGACAAGAGAUAAAAAGCAAGAUUUGAGAGAGGUUCAUGGAUCACUGGCACAAUCUGCUUAGUUCUACAAAGCAGAGUUUCUGGGCAUCAUUCUCCAUUUCUGUACACAAAGUGCUGUGACGCUCAAGAAGAAACAGCUCUGCGUAGGUACGAUGUGCACUGCCCUAUUGCUUCUUUAUCUAGUAGGUGAAAAAAAAUGCCCUGACGCUGUCUCUUGGGCACUUUUAUUUUUCUUCUAAAUUUUGGCCCUAAUUCUCUGUGAUGAUGAUGCUAUUGUUUUUAAUUGGGGCGUUUGUUUGUUUGUAUUGUUUUUAAUUGGGCCGUUUGUUUGUUUGUUUGUUUUGAGAUGGAGUCUCGCUCUGUUGCCAAGGCUGGAGUGCAGUGGCGCCAUCUCGGCUCAUUUGCAGCCUCCGCUUCCCAGGUUCAAGUGAUUCUCUUGCCUCAACCUCCCGAGUAGCGGGGAUUACAGGCACGCACCCCCAAGCCCGGCUAAUUUUUGUAUUUUUAGUAGAGACUGGGUUUCACCAUGUUGGCCAGGCUGGUCUUGAACUCCUGACCUCAGGUGAUCUGCCCACCUUGGCCUCCCAAAGUGCUGGAAUUACAGGUGUGAGCCACCGCACCUGGCUUUUUGCUUGUUUUUUUGAGACGGGGUCUCACUCUGUCACCCAGGCUGGAGUGCAGUAGUGCAAACACAGCUCACUUCAGCUUCCACCUCCCAGGCUCAAUUGAUCCUCCCACCACAGCCUUCCUGCUAGCUGGGACUGCAGGCAUGCACCACCACACCUGCCUGGCUAACUUUUAUUUAUUUAUUUGUAGAGACAGAGUCUCAUCAUUUUGCCCAGGCUGGUUUCGAAUUCCAGGGCUCAAGGAUCCACCUGCCUUGGACUCCCAAAGUGCUGGGAUUAUAGGCCUGAGCCACUGCACCAAGCUAAAUGGGGCCUUUUUAGUGGUGACAGAGACCAGGUGUUUUUCAGUUUUUGAGACUCCUAAUAUAUUUAAAAAAUAAAGUAAUAUCAAUUCAGGGUUGUAAAAAAUUUAAAUGCUAAAUGCUUUCAACAUCCACAUUAAACAAAGUACGUCUAUUAAACACAAAAAUAUAUGACAAUAUAUUAUACGAAUUACAAGAUAAAGGAUUUGUGAGAAAUAUUAAAUUCAUUGUGUAUAAUUAUUACUACUGUGGUCUGUUGAUGAGACACGAGUUUAAAGUUACUUUGAAGGAUGUCUUCUUUCAAUCCUCUCUGUAUAGCUCUGUAACUACUUCUGUACCCUCAGAGAUGGUGUUUCAACUUAAACUUGUGAAUGUGAAAUAUGAGCCAAAAGACUCUCUCGGCCCUGAAAUGACCUUUGUAGCAGAUGCUGCCAGAGGCCCCCUCUUAUCCUCCCUGGACUCUCCACCUAACCUGAUGUCAACUGCCAGUAUGUUCAUCUCCUUACCUGAGGGCUAUUCUGGUGGCAGGAGUCCUUGCUACUCACAGAAAUGGCCACCAGAAGUGCCAGAAAAAUUAACCUCCCUUGGCCAGCAGUCCUCAACCAGCUCCCUCACUGACACUGAUGUGCAGGUGUCUCCUAUGCUGGUUGCUGGAGUCAACCACAGCAGCAGCCUUCUUGACAACAUACCCUUCACUGGCUGCCUUCCUUUCCAUCUCUCUUCUUCACUCCCCUACCUACGUCUCCUAGGCUCUCCCUUCAAAUAAACAGCUUCACUCGAA